CGGUGAAUGAUAUAAUUGAGAAGUUACUACCAAUGAUGCAAAUGCCUAACAGUGAAGCUUACCAACUGUGGUUCUGUCCUGGCCAUGAGGAAGCUCCAUGAGCACUCCAAGGCCAUGAGUGUUUACAUGAUAUAAUAAUUACCAACCUUCAAAAUAUAUUCAGUAGAUGGGACUCAAGAUUUUUCACAGCUUUUCCUGCCUUAGCUGGGUUGUUUGUGAAAGACCUAAACUCGGAUGCACAGGGGCAAUUCAUCUUAAAGCCUGUAGACUCAGCUACAAGCCAGCAACAAAGACAUUCUAUCCCUCAUAGAAGAAAAAGGACCCAAGACUGAGGGCAUAUUCCAGAUAUCUCCAAAUGCAACAUCAUGCAAAAUCCUAAAGGAGAAAUUUGAAUCAGGGGAAGAGGUGGAUGUAAGAAAGUACUCAGUACAUGAAAUCGCCUGGAUUUUAAAGGUAGGGAAAUUCCUUGCACCAUCCACCCUCAGGAU
rnacentral:lncRNA from 1 species